rnacentral:misc_RNA from 1 species
UAUUGCUAUGCUGAGAAGUACGCGCACACACGCUCACUAACGUAUCAGCUUCAGAUCUGUUCUGUCUUUUUCCUUUUUUUUUUGCGUGGCGCGCAUUCGAUCUGUACUCGUUUUAUUUGCGUUGCCCGCAGUAAUGCUGCGCCGCACAGAUCGCUGCGGCCAGCGCAAGGUCGAGAAACUGCUGGUGGCGAAUCGAGGUGAGAUCGCAUGCCGCGUCUUCCGCACAUGCCGUGAGAUGCACAUCCGCACUGUGGCGCUGUUCUGCGAGGCAGAACGGAACGCGAAGCACGUCGUAGAGGCGGACGAGGCCGUCUGUAUUGGUCCUCCACCUGCGGUGAACUCCUAUCUGCGCGGUGACCAUAUCAUUAGCGUGGCAAAGCAGCUGAACGUUGAUGCGAUUCACCCCGGGUAUGGAUUUCUUUCCGAGAAUGCGGACUUCGCUGACGCUGUCACGCGCUCCGGCAUCGAGUUCAUUGGCCCACCCGCGUCUGCUAUCUCGUUGAUGGGGUCGAAGAGUGAGAGCAAGCGCAUCAUGGAGGCCGCCGGCGUUCCUGUUGUGCCGGGCUACUACGGCGAAAAUCAGAAUGUCUCCUUCCUUGCGGAGGAGGCAAACAAAGUGGGAUUCCCUAUUCUUAUCAAGGCAGUCUCGGGUGGUGGCGGCAAAGGCAUGAAGAUUGUGGAGCGGCCCGAAGAUCUUGCGUUUAUGCUGGAGAGCGCGAAGCGUGAGGCGGCCAACUUUUUCAAGGACGACCGCGUCAUUUUGGAGCGCUACGUGAAGCGCCCGCGACACAUAGAGUGCCAGAUUUUUUUCGAUAAACACGGUAGAGGGGUCUUCUUCUUCGAGCGAGAUUGCAGCGUUCAGCGCCGGUAUCAGAAGGUCCUCGAGGAGGCCCCGGCACCCCACCUGUCAAUGGAGAUGCGACAGCGCAUUGGCGAGGUAGCGUUGCAGGCUGCGAAGGCGGUUGGCUACGUGGGCGCGGGCACGGUGGAGUUCAUCUUCGACACGAGCACUGGAGAUUUUUACUUCAUGGAGAUGAACACGCGGCUACAGGUGGAGCACCCCGUGACGGAGGAGGUGUGCCGUAUCAAAGGCGCACCGCUGGACUUGGUCAAGCUGCAGAUCAAGACAGCCAUGGGUAAGCCGCUCACAUUUUCCCAGGAAGACGUAGCGUUGGUCGGCUCCUGUAUCGAGGCGCGCGUGUACGCGGAGUCGCCGGAGCGGGGGUUUCUGCCCGAGAGCGGUCCCUUGACGUUCAUCCGGGAGCCGUUUCAGGGGGUGCGCGGGCCGACGCGCACCCGACUGGACACUGGGUUUUGCGAAGGCGACAACGUACUCAUCCACUACGAUCCCAUGCUGGCCAAGGUCAUUUCGUGGGGUCGUAAUCGUGAAGAUGCGUUAAAAGGGCUUCGGCAGGCGCUGAGCGAGUACAAGGUGGCCGGUAUCAACACGAACAUCGAGUUCCUAAAGCGAUGCUGCGAGGCACCGGAGUUCACGCGCGGUGGCGUGACCACUAACUUCAUCAGCGAACAUGAAAAGCAGCUGCUCAACGCUCCAGCGGUGACGCCGGAGGUAGCGGCCAUGGCUGCCACCGCUUGGCUGCUGAACCGCUGCGAUAAUUGGCGUGGUGCGUUCCGCCUCAACGGCGACACCAAUGCCACCGUUCACUUCUACAUUGACAACCGCCCGGUAGAGGUGCGCCUGCACACGGAGGGUGCAAACUAUCACAAGAUCUUCUUCAGCGUGUGGGAUCAUGAGGGAUCGUUUGCGGUGGGCUCUGGCCCUGUGACCUCGAAGCACCGUGACCAGAGGAGCAUCGUGAACGAUUUCACGUUCCUCUUCGAGAAUGGCAUGCGCCACACGGUGUUGGCCGUCGCGACGGAAGGCGAUGUGACAAUCAUUGGCAGCUUUGGGCUGCACCAGAUUCGCCUACUGCCACUGACAGACGGAUUUGGAGACGCAUCAAUGGCGGGUGGUACCUCGGCGAAGAUCGUGAGCCCGAUGCCUGGCAAAGUGUCCAAGUUUCUCGUGAAUAGCGGCGACUUCGUCGACAAGGGACAGGCUCUCAUGAUCGUGGAGGCGAUGAAGAUGGAGCACCCCGUCAAGGCGCUGCAGGACGGCCAGGUGUCGUUUCUUGUUAAGGAGGGGGAGGUGGUCGGCAGCGACCACGUGCUUGCCACCGUCGUGCAGAAGGAGUGAUGCAGUGUGGCUCCACCCCUUGUGUCGCCCCGGACGUUCGCGAGGAGGCCUGCGCGAGGGUUUUUUUUUCUGUUGUUCUUUGUUUUGAGCUGCCCUUCACUCCUUUCUCUUCUCUCCUGUCCUUUUGAUUUUGUUGGAAUCACUGUACGCCUGAUGUGUGUGGGCGGGGCGGAUGCCCUCAUGUGCGGUGUUUACACCUCGGCACGCAUGGCGUAGAGAAUGGCUUGGAUUGGCGCACAUCGUGAGCACACAUCUUUGCAAGAAUCACAAUUUGCAAAUGGAUGCUGGUGAUGAAGUCUCUGACUUCCAGCUGCACUGUGCCAGAGCUGAGUGGUACGAAUCGCCUACUCUGGUGCAGGCCGAGAGUUUGGUUGAGGGUGAGUAUGGCACCUUGUUUAGUUGAGAAGUACGUGUCGCGAAGCACGCUCGUUAUGCGUUGCAACUUACAUCUUUUAUGUUGCUCCUCAUUCUUGCUUGCCAUCUCCUGAUAACCCUUUUUUUCGUUGACGUUGGCGCGGUGGGUGAGAGCGCUCUCCGCAG